CUCCGACAGCGGUCGUAGGCUCCGCCCCCUGCGCUCCGGACGGCGGGAAAACCCAAUUGACAGAACUCCCGCCGAAGCCCCACUAGUCCGAUCUGCGUUCUGUGGGGCUCGAGCGCUUAUUCUGGAGAAUCUGCCCCGGGGGCACCUUGUAUUGUCCCGCCGCCACCUCGGGGCCUGAGCCCGGGCUUCCCGUACAUCUCUGUCUGAGUCUGACUCGGCGGCCCUGGGCCCAGCCUCUCACUCGCGUCCGGCCGGUGGUCUCUACGAGACCCGAGACGGGCUCCCCGGCUCGCAGCUCGCUCCCACUGGACCUGCCGCCCCUAUGGCCUCCAGCCAGGCUGGGCCGGACCUCUGAAGGGCCUAGGAGCCCGGGUUCUAGGAGGCAGAGAUCAUGGUGGGGGUCCUGAGCAUGGCGGCGGCUGCAGCACCCCUUCCUGUGAAGGACUACGAGAUUGAGCCAUGCAAAAAGCGGAGAAAAGAUGAUGACAACUCUUCCUGCGAAACAAUCACCAAAUAUUUAUCACCAAUAGGGAAGACUGGAGACAAGGUUUUCUCUCCACCAAAACCCAGUAAUAUUCUACAUUAUUUUAGAAAGACCUCACUCACAACCGAGAAGCCACAAUCGACAAAGGCGUACAAAAUAAAGCCAUCUCCCCCAUUGCUUGUUGGCAACAGCAAAGACUGUAAGACGCCAUUGGAAGUAUUCUCAAAUAGAGAAUUUAAGAGGAAAAGAAAGAGAGUUAGUUUAUCCUCUCAACUGAAUGAUAUUAAAAUUCAGGAUGAGUGUCCAGUUGAAAUUAGUAACAAUGAUAGUAAGGAGGACGGUGGUUUAAGUGAUUGUGUGGAAAGCAGUGCUUCUGUUUCCCUUUACAAGGAACAUGUGGAGGUUCUCGCAGAAAGUAUUGAAGACAGCAGAAACCAGCCAAAUACUAAGUCCUCCAAAAAGAAAGUAAAUCCUAAACAAUGCACCACAAAAAGUGAUGACAGGAUACUGAGGAAGAGGAAGCGUAGCAAGGUAACGGGUCAGUCUGAAAGUGUGCCCUUAGCAGAUGAACUUAGUCUGCCUGAGGAUGGUGGCAAAGACAGCAAGCUGACUAAACCUUCCCUAGCUGAGGAAAACGACUCCAGGACUCAUGCAACCAAAAGAGCUGAUUUAAAGGAGAGUACAAUUACUGUCUCCUAUGAGGAAUUUGUAAAAAGUCACAAGGCAGCUAAAGUGGAAGAGAUACCUGACCCUGCAGUUCCAGCCUGUGUUCCUUCUGGGCCAGGUGAAGCAGUCAAAAGUGGUUCUGAAGGCGAAUUGUCGGGAAGCUGCGAACCAUCGCCACAGCUGCACCUCAAGACAGUUACUGUUCUUGCACAAGUUCACCCCACUCCCCCUAAGAAGAAAGGGAAAAUACCCCCAAUUUUCUUGAAACAGAAGCAGCCUGAGCUGGAGAAUAGUCUCUCUGACCCAGAAAAUGAGCAGCCAGUUCAGAAGAGGAAAUCUAAUGUUGUGAUCCAGGAGGGCCAAUUAGAGCUGGCGGUGCUGGAAGCCUGGAACUCUGAGGCUUCAGUACCAAAGUGCAGCAUGGAGGAAAGACAGCAGUUCAUGAGAGCAUUUAGGCAGCCACCGCCAGACACGCUCAAAAAUGGAUUCAAGAAACCUCUGGAGAAGCAGAAAGACCCAAGUGAAAAAUCUGUCCAUGAAGGAGAUAGCAGUUCUGAAAAAAUUAUAGAAAAUCCUAAUAUUCAAAGAGUUUCAAGCCAAGGCUGUCUACAGUCACAUGCCGAUAGAGGAAGUUUUCCUAAGGAGAAAAGUAAAAAGCCAAAUAAAAAGGGUAAGAAAACUAGGACUACUGCAGGUGGAAACAGAGAAGAAAACAUACAAAAGGAAAAAACAGCCUUUUCCUUAAAAGAUGAACAGGAUCAAAAUAGCCUACGAAGGAGUGUAAGACAGAAAUCAGAAGUUCUCAAAAGCAAUGCAUUACUUAACAGUGAAAAUCUUGUUUGUGAGGAUACGGCACAUGACUCUGUACAAAUGUCUCUGUGUAAUAGAAAUAAGUCAAGAAGCAGCAGCACACCAACCAGGGAUAUGGUUACACAUCACAGAGCUGAGCCUGGAAGUAGCCUGGAGUAUGUCUCUACACGCCAACCAAUCAGGAGAUCUCUGAGAAGUUGCAGCACGCCUGCAACAAAUGCUCUGGGAGGUACUGAGUCUGAGGAUGCUCAGGACACUAUUCCAGUGAAGGCUUCCACCCCAAAAUCAGCCAGAACAUCAGAAAAGCACAACCUGUAUACAGCAGAAUUAAUAAUAGUAUCUUCUGAUUCCGAGAGCCCCAUUAGAAUGAAAUUCACUAGAAUUAGUACUCCCAAAAAAUCCAAGAAAAGUUCUAAGAAAUCUGAAACAACUGAGGAAGAGCUCACUUCUCAGAAGAAAAAGGCAAAUAGUACUUCAAAAAAUAUAUCAAAAGCAAAAGAACUGAUUGAGGAAGCAAAAGCAUUCCAAAUUGGCGGAUCAAAGACUGAAGAAACAGUGGUACCCUUGAGGCGGUCCUCUAGGCACCAGGCACGUUCUGCAAAGGAGAAGUCGCCAGAGAUAGAUGACUCUGUAAUAGUAAUAGACUCAAGUCCAACUUCUAUAAGAGAACCAGAGAAAAGUCAGAAGAAACUUCAGAAUCUGAAUGAUGUACUAGGAAAAAAACUUAACAAGUCUUCUAAAAAUGUCCCUGGAAAAAUGAAAAUUGCUCCUUUAUUUCUUGCCAAAAGGACCAAAAGAGCAGCCAUUCCUGUCUUUGAUUUGGAUGAAAGCAGUCAAGAUUCAUCAGAACAAACUCAGGAUUGUGAUGUACAGUUUAAAGCAAAGCGUGAUUUUCUAAUGAGUGGUUUGCCAGAUUUACUGAAACGUCAGAUUGCAAAGAAAGCUGCUGCAUUAGAUGUGUACAAUGCAGUGAGUACAAGUUUCCAGAGGGUUGUUCAUGUACAACAGAAGGAUGAUGAAUAUUGGUUAUGGCAUUUGAAGCCACCUUCUUGUCCUCUGUUAACUGAAUUUAAGGAAUUAAAUACUAAAGUAACAGAUCUCUCAGAAUAUGUUGUUGCUUUUGGUGAAUUUUCCACCUUGAAUCCAAAUCCAAGAAGUAAUCCUGCUGCUGUGAUGAUGAGGACAAGGAAGGACUUUACUAAAGAAGUAAGAAACCUUUUGCUGGAGGAAAUAAAGUGCUCAAAUCCAGAAUUUUCUUUGGAAAAAUAUUUUCCCUUGCUUCUUAAAAAACGAAUUGAACACCAGGUACUUUGUGAGGGUCAUGGUAAACAAGCAAGUCCACAACUACAGCCUGAUGUCAGUCAAAAAGAAACCAAAAGGAAACAAGUGGCAACGGGAAAUCAGAAGUCAAAAAGAAAGAGACAAAAUGAAUAUUCAGUGAGCCCGGAAGAGAUGAAGGGGAGAUCAAAAGACCUUGACGAAAGAAUCAGCUCUUCUUGUACAAAUCUAGAUCCUUCCAGAGAUUCUGGAACUGAAGACAUGCUUUGGACAGAAAAGUACCAACCUCAGAAUUCGAAUGAACUCAUAGGCAAUGAGUUAGCUGUCAAAAAGUUACAUAGUUGGUUGAAGGACUGGAAAAGAAGAGCUGAACUGGAAGAAAGACAUAAUUUGAAAGGAAAGAGAGAUGAAAAAGAGGAAGAUUUAUCGGAUAGCACGGACUUUAAAGGCAGUUCAGAUGAUGAAGAGAAUCGUCUUUGCAACACUGUUCUUAUAACAGGACCAACGGGAGUGGGAAAAACUGCUGCCGUGUAUGCUUGUGCUCAGGAGCUUGGGUUUAAGAUAUUUGAAGUGAAUGCCUCUUCACAGCGAAGUGGUAGGCAAAUCCUGUCUCAGCUGAAGGAAGCUACCCAGUCCCAUCAAGUAGAUAAGCAAGGUGUAAACUCACAAAAACCCUGUUUCUUUAACAACUACAACAUUGGCAAGUCACCAAAAAAGUUAAACUCCCCGGGGAAAGUUGUUACAUCACCAAGGAAGCUUCCUCCAUCGUCACCAAAGACAAGUGGGCAGAAGCGAGCACUUCUUCCUAAAACUUUGGCAAAUUACUUUAAAGUGUCCUCCAAAUCCAAAAGUAAUGACGACGUAGGAGCACUCAUGGGAGAUGACAAAGGAGUCAAAAAUUCGUCUUUGGAACAGAGGCAACUUAUUCAGACUAAAUCAACCAAUGCAAAUAAUUCACAUAUUAAAGAUGUUGGAGCUGAAGAAUCCAACAGGAAGAAGGCGACAUCACUCAUUCUCUUUGAGGAGGUUGAUGUCAUUUUUGAUGAAGAUGCUGGGUUUUUGAAUGCAGUCAAAACCUUCAUGGCAACAACUAAACGACCAGUAAUUCUCACGACAAGUGGGAUGAGCUCCCUCCUGGUUCCCCGCAGAUCCCUAAUGAAUUUAUUAGCACUUCUUCAUCCCAUGAUAAAACUUCAAGGAGAUCUGUUUCCUGUUUAGUUAAAAUCCCACAUUUAGUCUAGUGUUUGAUGGCUGCUUUGAAGAAAUCAAUUUCAGUAUUCCUUCCCUGCUAAAUGUUGCCAGCUAUCUACAAGUGAUUUGUCUAGUUGAGAAUUUCAGAACUGACUUUAAAGACUUUGUAACCUUGUUGACUGCAAAUGCUUGUGACAUCAGAAAAAGUAUCCUUUACUUACAGUUUUGGAUUAGAAGUGGAGGUGGAAUUUUAGAAGAAAGGCCAUUAUCACACUGUCGAGAAAAUAGCAGAAAUACACUGGUUUGUUCAGAAGAUGGCUCUGAUGCAAACAUCAACUCUAAAAAACCCAAAAGGAACCGUGUGGCCCUCCCCAGGUGUGACACUGGCUGUGCAGAGGCUUUGUUUGGACUCAAGAACAUUGCCUCCCCAUCCCAGGACUUACUUUCAUUAUUGAAGCACAAGAUCACAACAAAGGAAGAAUGGCAGAAACUCAUUCAGGUUCUCACCGAAUUCCACGUGCAAAAUAUCGAUCUGCUACAUAGUAACCUUGAGGUCAUCCUGCCACUGCCAGUUCAUGUGGUUCCAGAUGUAAGGGGUGCUUAUGGCUUCCCAGUGACUACACAGGCCAGUGCACCAGCAAGCAUGGGGCAUCUUACCAGGAAGCAGUCAAAAGACCAGCCAUUGAGAAAGUCACAGAAAAGGAAACAGAAAAAGAUGGUGAUCCUAGAUGACAGUGACCUGUUUGACACUGGCCUAGACUUUUCUGGUGAACUGCCUAGCCUAUCUCCUGCACCCUCCUUGUCUGUAGAAGACAACAUAAGAAGAGACAGCAAUCCAGAGAUUAAGACACAGAACAGUGGUUUCAAGCCCCACUCUGUACCUCAGCCCCCUAAGACACUAGCAGAGAAGAAGUGUUGCAUGCUCGUUUCCCACUGUUUAAAUUCUCUCAGUGAGUUCAUGGAGAACAUGUCCUUCAUAGAUGCUCUUUUAACAGAUCCAGGGGAACAGAAUGAAUUGGGUAGAAGUGCCUUUCACUGGACAAAUGGAAGGGUUAAAAGUGGACUUUGUGAUGAGUUUAGUCUUGAGAAUAGAGACAGGUGGGCUCCUCAGAGCGCUGGAGAAUUAAAAGCAACUGCAGAAGCACUGAGCUUUACUGAGUGUUCUUCUACCAUUUCAAAAGCACUGGAGUCCUUGAAUUCAUGCAAGCAAUUAGAAAGAGACCCAACCAAUGAACUCACAGUCUGUGUUUCACAAAGGCGCCAUGAUGCAUGCUUCCGCCAAUCAGCAGCUAAUCUAGACAAUGCUGACAAGAGGAUGGCAGUUAUUAAAAGUGUGUUUUCUAGUCGUUCUUUUCUGACCCUGGGUAAUAAACAAGCUAGUAUAAUUGACUACCUGCCAACUCUUCGGAACAUUUGUCGGACAGAAAAGCUAAAAGAACAAGAGAAAAAUAAAAGAAGGUUUCUGCACUAUUUUGAAGGAAUUCAUCUAGAGAUUCCUGAAGAAACCAUAACUACUUUGGCAGCUGACUUCCCUUGAUGCUCCCCGUCGUCAGCCUUGUAGAGACUGUGUGGUCCUGAUGACUCUAGAGUAUGGUGACUUUAAAGAAGAGCUUAUUUCUCUUAAUGUAAAUUUUGAAAGACUUUUGUAUUUUUGUGGUUCAAGUUUAAAAUGAAAAAUUUGAGUUACAAAUUGUAUAUAUGACUGUGACAUUUUUUCUGAAUGUUUGGAUUAUCUAUUUUUGCUUUAUUGUAUACUUUCUGUAUGUGUGAACUGUUUGUAGAAUAAUUUUCACUUAUAGAUUUCUAGAGCUGUUUCAGUUCUAAGCUUACCUGUCAUUUUUCCCUUUUCCUGUAAUUGUCCUCUCCUGCCAAGCAGCAGAGCUGUGCCACUGUAAAUAGGCAGUCUCUAAAGUUACACAAUGGAAAACAGUUAUGUACAGGGUAUUUUAAAAUGUCCUAGGAAGUAAAUUAUGCCUCGGUUGUGAAAAGCAUUGCCUUUGUUUCUUGUGCCUUCUUCCACCACGUUUUACAUGUAAUCAUUGAGUCAUUAGCACUGGCAGAGUAAAGCCUUCUGAAUUCUAGCAUUUGCCUAGAUAAGACCAUCUGUCACUCACUCCCUGUAGUUACACAGUCCAGUGAAUCUUGCCAACUCAAGUCGUUUGUACAUUUUCUGGUACUUUUAUAUCAUUGUUUUAUUUCAUAAAGUAAUGACACUGUUUAUCUGUUGUGGACAACUUGUUGAUGGUUCAAGAAGUAAUGACGGAUUCUACCAUGGGGCUUCUACCUGACUGCUGUUCCCAUUUGAGUAUGGCGUUUGUUGUUGGUUUUUGUUUUUGGUGCUGAGGAUUAAAUUUAAGGGUUUUUGUAUUAUAGGCAAAUGUCUUGUAUCCUAGUAUAUACACAGGCGUUGUGUUUUACUAAUUAUUUGCAGUGGUACGUAUCAAAUCCAAGAUCUCGUGCAUUCUAUGAACAUGCUAAACCACAGAGCGAGAACCCCCAUCCUGUUUUUGAGGCAGGGUCUGGUAUAUUGCUUAGGCUACUCCUAAUCUCCUUCCAGAAUUUUGUAAUCCCCGUCUCAAGCUCCUUCAGUACUUACAGGUAUUUGCUACCACACUGAGCAAGGUCAUCUUUUAAUAUUUUUUGAGUACCUAUUUUUAACUUUAGUAGCAAGUUUUUAAAAUGCACAUUUUACUUAAUGUUAUUUUGCAGAUUAUGAGGUUUGUUUAAAAUUCCUUCAUAAUGUAAAUAUUUGUAUAAUAAUAUAUUAUUCAGGUACAUUUUCUGAUGAAUUGUAUUUUUAAUUCAGAAGGUAAGGAUCCUAGUUUUGUACUUUUUAAAAAUAUAGUUGCAUACCUGUUUACAAAUGUGUAUAAAGAUGUGUUUUUACCUCUUGUUCAACCUACCUUCUUGAAUUAGUUAGUAAAUUGAUCUAAUUAAAGCUAAAUGCUUGGUGUGUUAAAUUA